rfam:Zootermopsis nevadensis contig1262, whole genome shotgun sequence.
GCCACGGUGGUCUACCGGUUAGAACGCUGGCCUUGUAAUCCUGGGGUCUCGGGUUCGAUUCCCGGCGGUGCCC